AUACGGAGGAUGCGAGCGUUAUCCGGAUUUAUUGGGUUUAAAGGGAGCGUAGGUGGGAUAUUAAGUCAGCUGUGAAAGUUUGGGGCUCAACCUUAAAAUUGCAGUUGAUACUGGUUUCCUUGAGUACGGUAUAGGUGGGCGGAAUUCGUGGUGUAGCGGUGAAAUGCUUAGAUAUCACGAAGAACUCCGAUCGCGAAGGCAGCUCACCGGGCCGGAACUGACACUGAUGCUCGAAAGUGCGGGUAUCAAACAGGAUUAGAUACCCUGGUAGUCCGCACAGUAAACGAUGAAUACUCGCUGUUUGCGAUACACUGUAAGCGGCCAAGCGAAAGCGUUAAGUAUUCCACCCGGGGAGUACGCCGGCAACGGUGAAACUCAAAGGAAUUGACGGGG
rnacentral:rRNA from 1 species